rnacentral:rRNA from 1 species
UUUCGUAGGUGGACCUUCGGGGGGGUCCUUA